ensembl:lncRNA
CCGGGGCCGGGGCCGGGGAUGGCGCCGCGGGUGGCGGGGUUCUCGCCGGCUCUGCCGCCCGGUGCGUGCCCGCGGGGCCGGCGGGGAACAGGCGGGGGUGCCAGUACUGCCCGGGGGCCCGGCGAGCGACUCCGGGGAAUAAAAGCGAGGGGAGUCGCGGCGGAACGGGCUUUGUUCCGUAGGUGGCGGCUGCCGUGGGGAUGUGCAGCUGCGGUUUCGUUCUCCAGGGCCGCGGAUGGCCGCCCUGCGCAGCUGGAGAGCCGCUUCCUGACAGGCACUCUGCUCCUGAAGAUCUCCCUAGGCAGCAGCCUGGGCCAUUCCUUCAUGACCUGCCUGGACCCAGGGCCUGCUUCUCACCAGCUACUGCUCGGCUUGUAUGCUCAGGGAUGUUUCUGCACAAAUCUCCAGAGGACCAAGACCUGUCCGUUUUCUCUUGUCCCUGAAGUCCAAAACAGAGACUAUGACUGCUCACAAGAGAGAUGAAACAAUAAUGUCCCUGGUGAUGACAAGAACCUUGCCUACUGACAGGAAGAAGGCAUAAGGAGACUUUCUUCUUUUUAUGACAUGGCCCUCAGCUAACUGAGAAACCUGUGUGAUAUUUCUGUGUAUAUUAAAAGAACAGAGAGCCUCACUCAAGAACUUCUAGUUCUCUAGCCUGUCUUGACUAUUCUCUGUAUCCUCUCUACUGUACUGCUGUCACAGCUCAAUGCUAGAGUAAAUGUCAAGGAUCCUAGAAACAUCUUCAAUUCCACAUCCUGAUGCUGAUCUGAAGUCAUAUCAGCAUGACAGCAGAAGCAAGAAGCUACUUUUACCUCCCCCAUAACACAGAAGUGGGAUUAAAGACCUGAUAGAGAUUUAGAAAAUAGCUCCUUCUAGUCUAGUGGGUGCUGGUUUUGGCUGGAGUAGAACUAAUUUUCUUCAUGGUUUCAGGCUGUGAUUUAAAUUUGCACUGAAAACAGGGCUGGUAACAUUUUUCUGCUGAACCAAGGCCUUUGCUGCUCCUCACCCAUGCCACCAGUGAGGACACUGAGGAUGUACAAGGACUUGUGAAGGGACACAGCUGGGACAGCUGACACCACAUGACCCAAGGUGUAUCCCAUAUGGUAUGGUGUCAUGCUUAGCAUAUAAAUCUGGAGGAAGAAGAAGGAAGGGGAGGAAGUUCAUAGUCAUGGCAAACUUCGCACAGUCUUCCGAAGUGAUCCUGACACGAUAGGGCCCUGCUCUCCUAGAGACGGGUGAGCACCUGCUUUCCUAUGGGAAGCAGUGAAUUAAUUCCUUGAUUUGCUUUGCUUCUGUGUGUGACUUUUACUUUCCCUAUUAAACUGUCUUUAUCUCAAUCCAUGAGUUUUUUCACUUUUACCCUUCCAGUUCUCUUCCCCAUCCCACCAUGGAUGAGUGAGCCAGUAGUUACAGGGUGCUUAAUUGCUGGCUGGGGUUAAACCACAACAGUCCUCCUUUGGACCCAAAGUCAGGCUCAAAAAGCUCAGAUUAUGACAGUCUAGACUGGAAUGUGCUAGAUUAAACUUUCAGCUGUUAUGGCUGUUUAAUUAUUAGUCAGCAGGCACGAGUGCUUGCCCACAGGGCUCACUCGUCUGACUGUGUACUGCAAUCCAGUGGUUGUUGGUGGCUGCUUGCUGUAGUGCUGUGCUUCUUAUCAUCUCACUCUGCUGUGCCUGGGAACAUUUUGAUAACAGCCACGAUGUGCCUGGGCUGGCAGGUGGCCAGGGCAUUGCAGCUGUCUGCCACUGUACUGGACAGGCUGCUUCCAGUAUGAACUUGAGUCAAAGGGACUGUGACCUGUGGAUAAAUCCACAGUACAGGGGAGGAGUGUGAGAAAUCCUUUUCCUUAAGAAGAAGGAGGGGCAGGAGGUGGUCCCCGUGAUGAAGCCCUGCAGUCACUUCACAUGGUGAAGCCAUGGUCAGGCAGGCUGUCCCUCUGCAUCCCAUGGAGGACCAUGGUGGACCCUGUAACUGCUAUAGCAGGAGCCCCUUGUUGCUAGCCACACUAGAAGCAAGGUGAGGAGUUCAUUACACUGUUAAACCCUUCAAUCUGGCACAAAAUGCCCAUGGGUGGAAAUAGUAAUGGAUGUGCCUUUAAAUUGUUGUAACCCAUUAUUUGAGUUUCACUUACAGGAAUUACUCUAAUAGGAACCACAUGAACCAACGGAGGACAAGUCUUAGAAUAAACUGUGCAAAUGCAGCA